UUCCGGUUGAUCCUGCCAGAGGUCACUGCUAUCGGGGUUCGAUUAAGCCAUGCGAGACGAGAGGGUUCAGACCCUCGGCGGACUGCUCAGUAACACGUGGAUAAUCUGCCCUAUGGUGGAGGAUAACCCCGGGAAACUGGGGAUAAUACUCCAUAAGUCAGGAGUACUGGAAUGUCUCCUAACUGAAAGUUGCGGCGCCAUAGGAUGAAUCUGCGGCCGAUUAGGUAGUUGUUGGGGUAACGGCCCAACAAGCCCGUAAUCGGUACGGGUUGUGGGAGCAAGAGCCCGGAGAUGGAAUCUGAGACACGAUUCCAGGCCCUACGGGGCGCAGCAGGCGCGAAAACUUUACAAUGCAGGAAACUGUGAUAAGGGAACCCCGAGUGCCCGUAAACGCGGGCUGUCCCGGUGUUUAAAACACAUCGGAAGAAAGGGCCGGGCAAGACCGGUGCCAGCCGCCGCGGUAAUACCGGCGGCUCGAGUGGUGACCACUUUUAUUGGGCUUAAAGCGUUCGUAGCUUGAUUUUUAAGUCUCUUGGGAAAUCUCACGGCUUAA
rnacentral:rRNA from 1 species